rnacentral:rRNA from 1 species
CAGCAGCCGCGGGAAUACGUAGGGUGCGAGCGUUAAUCGGAAUUACUGGGCGUAAAGCGUGCGCAGGCGGUUUUGUAAGACAGGCGUGAAAUCCCCGGGCUCAACCUGGGAAUGGUGCUUGUGACUGCAAAGCUAGAGUGCGGCAGAGGGGGAUGGAAUUCCGCGUGUAGCAGUGAAAUGCGUAGAUAUGCGGAGGAACACCGAUGGCGAAGGCAAUCCCCUGGGCCUGCACUGACGCUCAUGCACGAAAGCGUGGGGAGCAAACAGGAUUAGAUACCCGCGUAGUCCCUGUCUCUUAUAC